UACGUAGGGGCAAGCGUUGUCCGGAAUCAUUGGGCGUAAAGCGCGUGUAGGCGGUCCGGUAAGUCCGCUGUGAAAGUCGGGGGCUUAACCCUCGGAUGCCGGUGGAUACUGUCGGGCUUGAGUACGGAAGAGGCGAGUGGAAUUCCUGGUGUAGCGGUGAAAUGCGCAGAUAUCAGGAGGAACACCAAUGCGAAGGCAGCUCGCUGGGACGUUACUGACGCUGAGACGCGAAAAGCUGGGGAGCAAACAGG
rnacentral:rRNA from 1 species